rnacentral:sRNA from 1 species
GGCUCAUUUUCUGGGUUAAGUCUCCUUGAAAGAUUGGACCUCCGAAACAAUCUUAUUAGUAGUAUAGAUCCAGGUGCCUUCUGGGGACUGUCAUCUCUAAAAAGAUUAAACCUUUCGGGGAAUUUGUUUUCUUCAUUAUCUCAAGGAACUUUUGAUUAUCUUGCCUCAUUACGGUCUUUGGAAUUCCAGACUGAGUAUCUUUUGUGUGACUGUAACAUACUGUGGAUGCAUCGCUGGGUAAAGGAGAAGAACAUCACGGUACGGGAUACCAGGUGUGUUUAUCCUAAGUCACUGCAGGCCCAACCAGUCACAGGCGUGAAGCAGGAGCUGUUGACAUGCGACCCUCCGCUUGAAUUGCCGUCUUUCUACAUGACUCCAUCUCAUCGCCAAGUUGUGUUUGAAGGAGACAGCCUUCCUUUCCAGUGCAUGGCUUCAUAUAUUGAUCAGGACAUGCAAGUGUUGUGGUAUCAGGAUGGGAGAAUAGUUGAAACCGAUGAAUCGCAAGGUAUUUUUGUUGAAAAGAACAUGAUUCACAACUGCUCCUUGAUUGCAAG